UAGGGAAUCUUCGGCAAUGGACGAAAGUCUGACCGAGCAACGCCGCGUGAGUGAAGAAGGUUUUCGGAUCGUAAAACUCUGUUGUUAGAGAAGAACAAGGACGUUAGUAACUGAACGUCCCCUGACGGUAUCUAACCAGAAAGCCACGGCUAACUACGUGCCAGCAGCCGCGGUAAUACGUAGGUGGCAAGCGUUGUCCGGAUUUAUUGGGCGUAAAGCGAGCGCAGGCGGUUUCUUAAGUAUGAUGUGAAAGCCCCCGGCUCAACCGGGGAGGGUCAUUGGAAACUGUGAGACUUGAGUGCAGAAGAGGAGAGUGGAAUUCCAUGUGUAGCGGUGAAAUGCGUAGAUAUAUGGAGGAACACCAGUGGCGAAGGCGGCUCUCUGGUCUGUAACUGACGCUGAGGCUCGAAAGCGUGGGGAGCAAACAGG
rnacentral:rRNA from 1 species